rnacentral:rRNA from 1 species
GAUGAACGCUGGCGGCGUGCCUAAUACAUGCAAGUCGAGCGAACGGACGAGAAGCUUGCUUCUCUGAUGUUAGCGGCGGACGGGUGAGUAACACGUGGAUAACCUACCUAUAAGACUGGGAUAACUUCGGGAAACCGGAGCUAAUACCGGAUAAUAUUUUGAACCGCAUGGUUCAAAAGUGAAAGACGGUCUUGCUGUCACUUAUAGAUGGAUCCGCGCUGCAUUAGCUAGUUGGUAAGGUAACGGCUUACCAAGGCAACGAUGCAUAGCCGACCUGAGAGGGUGAUCGGCCACACUGGAACUGAGACACGGUCCAGACUCCUACGGGAGGCAGCAGUAGGGAAUCUUCCGCAAUGGGCGAAAGCCUGACGGAGCAACGCCGCGUGAGUGAUGAAGGUCUUCGGAUCGUAAAACUCUGUUAUUAGGGAAGAACAUAUAUGUAAGUAACUGUGCACAUCUUGACGGUACCUAAUCAGAAAGCCACGGCUAACUACGUGCCAGCAGCCGCGGUAAUACGUAGGUGGCAAGCGUUAUCCGGAAUUAUUGGGCGUAAAGCGCGCGUAGGCGGUUUUUUAAGUCUGAUGUGAAAGCCCACGGCUCAACCGUGGAGGGUCAUUGGAAACUGGAAAACUUGAGUGCAGAAGAGGAAAGUGGAAUUCCAUGUGUAGCGGUGAAAUGCGCAGAGAUAUGGAGGAACACCAGUGGCGAAGGCGACUUUCUGGUCUGUAACUGACGCUGAUGUGCGAAAGCGUGGGGAUCAAACAGGAUUAGAUACCCUGGUAGUCCACGCCGUAAACGAUGAGUGCUAAGUGUUAGGGGGUUUCCGCCCCUUAGUGCUGCAGCUAACGCAUUAAGCACUCCGCCUGGGGAGUACGACCGCAAGGUUGAAACUCAAAGGAAUUGACGGGGACCCGCACAAGCGGUGGAGCAUGUGGUUUAAUUCGAAGCAACGCGAAGAACCUUACCAAAUCUUGACAUCCUUUGACAACUCUAGAGAUAGAGCUUUCCCCUUCGGGGGACAAAGUGACAGGUGGUGCAUGGUUGUCGUCAGCUCGUGUCGUGAGAUGUUGGGCUAAGUCCCGCAACGAGCGCAACCCUUAAGCUUAGUUGCCAUCAUUAAGUUGGGCACUCUAAGUUGACUGCCGGUGACAAACCGGAGGAAGGUGGGGAUGACGUCAAAUCAUCAUGCCCCUUAUGAUUUGGGCUACACACGUGCUACAAUGGACAAUACAAAGGGCAGCGAAACCGCGAGGUCAAGCAAAUCCCAUAAAGUUGUUCUCAGUUCGGAUUGUAGUCUGCAACUCGACUACAUGAAGCUGGAAUCGCUAGUAAUCGUAGAUCAGCAUGCUACGGUGAAUACGUUCCCGGGUCU